UGUGCUGGCGCCGGGCGUCGUCCAGGUGCGUGGACAGCACGUCCCCCAUGGCGAGGAGGAGCCGAGGCCCGAUCCGGUGCCGCCAGCCGCUGCCCGCGCUGCUCAGACCGACGCCGCUGGCGCCAUGGAGCCCGGCCCGGCCCGCCCCGCCCCGCUCCCGCGCUCCGCUGAGCCGCCGCCCCGGCCACGGCCUCGGCUCGGGCUCCAGGCGCGUCCCGCCCGCCCGCCGCGGCCGCCAGCCCCGCCCCGCGCCCGCGCCCGGCCCCGCCCCCGUCCCGCCCCCGCCGCGGCAGGCGGGGCGCCAAGCUGGGGACGCCGGGACCGCGGGAGACCCAGACAAAGAGAAGGUCCCUGCAAGGGCCAUCCCGGCGAGACCAGCAGAGCGCGCCCCGCACCCGGACCGAAGCGAAGAAAGGGGCUGGUGGGGGAUCUGAAAGAACCGGGGCUCGGGGCUCCAGCCUGGUCUCUCCCCUCCGCUCCCGUCCCCUCUCCUCCCGGUGCCACUGGAUGGGGACGCCUGGGCCGACGUGCGGGAUUGGCUUUUGCGCAGCACUCGGCAGGCAGGCUGCACCGUGCCGCCGGCCCCGUCCCUCCGGAAGCCACUCGCUCUCAGAGUUCCCUGGCCUUGAACCGACCGACCCCAGAAGUUUCAGGACCGCCCAAGGGCACGGAGGAGUGGACUGGGUGAUAGAGGCCUUCCUUGGCUGCUGAUGCUCAGGUCUGCCCUGUGUCCUUGUCAAGGGCCAUCAAGUUGCUACUUGCUUGUCCUCGGUGACUGAGCACUCACCCCUUCAUGCAUUUCCACUCUGUUGCUGGACAGCUCUUACCGUCAUUUUGGCAUAAGGCGGCAAAUGAUAACAGUUAACACUACUUCAGGUCCUCCAGGCUGGGACCCGUUCAUGCCUCCAGUCACCAGUCAUUCAGCAGCUAGAGGAUAAACAUCCAUGUGCCAGCCCCUCUGCAAGAUGCUGGGAAUGAAAAGGUGAGAAAACCCAAGCUGCCCUACCCUCUGGGACCCUGAACAAGUGGCAUUGCCUCUUUGAACCUCAGUUUCCUCAUCUGUCAACUAAGAAGGAGGCGGCAAGGUUGGGAAAAUUAAGUGAGAUAACAGUGCCUAGCGUUAUCUCAUUUAACACGUGUUAUCUGGGCACAGUGCCUGGCAUAUGGUUGGUCAUCUUUCAAUAAACAGAACUGUCAUUCUAUUAUUCCUCACAGUCCUUGUCCUCAAGAACGUAGAGAAACUUGAAGGAGCAGAACAUUCUGUUUUGAGGACGGUCAUGGAGGGUAGUACGAGAGCCAAAAGUUGGAAAACAAGAAUUGUGGCAGCAGAUACUGAGAAACAGCAUUCCAGGGAGAAGGGAAGCAUGAUUGGCCUCUGACAAGCAGUGGAGAAUCAUCAGGUGGAACUGAAGUCAGCUGCCAGGGAUUACUAGUUUUCCCCUACAGAGGUGGCCCAGAGAAAACAAUUGACUUGCCAAGAGCACACAGUAAGGCCUGGGCAAAACCUGGCCAGUGGCCAGGUCUCCCGACGCCCAGUGUCAUGUUCUCUGAAGGACCAAAAGCAAGCCACGUUCGGGAACCUCAUUUCAUCUUUCCCGUGGCCCCAACUACAGAGUCUAGGAAAGGCCUUCUCUGCCCAGGGAGGAGACAGGUGGGGCCGGCUGGCACCUGGACACCCCAGGGCAUCUGCUCAGCCAGGCCUCCAGUUGGGGAAGAGGCAGACCUGCAAGCAGCCCCUGACCUGGAGCACCCACAAGCUUCCUGGCAUGCCAGGCUCCAGGCCCAGGGGCCUUCUCUCUUGACUUAAGAUACCUAUCACAUGUCACCUAACAUCUCUAAGCAACCAUGGUGGCAAACGUGGAAAGGCAUUGUAAACUGUGCAGUGCUGUGCAUACCUCUGAGUGGCUACCACCAAACCCUGGAGCCAGGCCUGACAAUUCGAGAUUCAUUUCAUGUGGGGGAAAGAAAAAGAAUAUGUAUGUGUAUAUACAUAUAUAUUUUUUUUCUUUUUCUUUUUUUUGGUGGUGGUGGUGGGGCUCAAGGUAAUACCUAGAAAAAGAUCUGGAGCGAACUCUUGGUCCAGUUUGCUAGGAGAGGUGGAGUGCAUAUUUGUCAAAACUUACCAAACUGUACCUUCA